rnacentral:rRNA from 1 species
CCAAUAGCGUAUAUUAAAGUUGUUGCAGUUAAAAAGCUCGUAGUUGAAUUUCGGGGUCAGUAGGUUGGUCGUGCCACCGGUACGUACUGGUCUCACUGAUUCCUACUUCCUGAUGAGCUGUAAUGCCAUUCAUUUGGUGUUGCGGGGAAUCAGGACUGUUACUUUGAAAAAAUUAGAGUGUUUAAAGCAGGCUAACGCUUGAAUACAUUAGCAUGGAAUAAUGAAAUAGGACGUCGGGUUCUAUUUUGUUGGUUUCUAGGAUCGAUGUAAUGAUUAAUAGGGAUAGUUGGGGGCAUUAGUAUUCAAUUGUCAGAGGUGAAAUUCUUGGAUUUAUUGAAGACUAACUACUGCGAAAGCAUUUGCCAAGGAUGUUUUCAUUAAUCAAGAACGAAAGUUAGGGGAUCGAAGACGAUCAGAUACCGUCGUAGUCUUAACCAUAAACUAUGCCGACUAGGGAUCGGAUGAUGUUAAUUUUAUAAUGACUCAUUCGGCACCUUACG